CACAUAAUAUGUCAUAACCACUAUUAGGGGCACCUAAUCUGGUAUAUACUAUUGUGAGGGGGAACAUAAUCUGGCAUAGCCACUGUUAGGAGCACCUAAUCUGGAAUAACUAUUGUGAGGGGCACCAAAUCUGGCAUAACUACUGUGAUGGGCACCUAAUCUGGCAUAACUACUGUGAAGGGCACAUAAUCUGUCAUAACUAUUGGGAGGAGGCACCUAACCUAGCAAAACUACUAUGAGGGGCACAUAUCAGGCAUAACCACAGUAAGGGAGUACAAACUGGGCAUACGUAAUGUGAGGGGCACAAAAAUGGGCAUACCUACUGUGAGGGGGCACAAAAAUGGGCAUAAUUAAUGUGGAGGAGGUACAAAGAUGAGCAUAACUCCUGUGACGGGCACAAAGGUGAGGGGCCACAAGGAGGACAUAACUACUGUGACAGGCACAAAGGUGGGUAUAACUAAUGUGGAGGGGCACAAAGUUAAGCCUAACUACUGUGACAGGCACAAAGGUGGGCUUACUACUAUGACGGAAACAAAAGGUGGGCAUAACUACUGUGAGGGGCCACAAGGAGGACAUAACUAUUGUGUAAUUCAUCAGUGGAUAAUUCAUAUCAAUGUGACUCAUGUACAGGGCUCACCUAGCCCAGGGCUACAUGUGGACAGAUAUGUAUACUCACUCUCGCGAGAGGUGCAGAGUAAGGAGAACCUAAACCAAGAUGGCCAAUAACCACUCAGUUAGUAUUGCCAAUAAUGGCUGCGCAUGCAUCCAAUACCCAUAGCGCUUCACUGCCCCGCCUUGAAGAUCAUAAAUACAGGUAACUUUGCUUUCUAAGUAUGACUGACGCCACGAACUUGUCAAUUAGCUUACAUCCAUAAACAGCUGGGUGAACCCACCAAUCCCAAAGCCGAGGAAAAGACUAGAGGCACCCUUAUGUGUCUCCCGUCUCAUCCUACAUGACCGUACCAGGUACACUGCCAUCAUUUUGGAUGUCCAAAGCAGGUCCAAAGGGGGGGGGGGGGGGGGGGUGAGGAGAAAUCCUGAUAUACUUGAGGAAAAACUUGCCUCCCUGUUAGGGGAAGAUGACUCAGUGACACAUUUUUGUGGUCUAAAACAUCACCCCAGAUCAAGGGAUAUCCUAGUCAGGCUAUACGUGGCUUAAUAUUAAAAA